CGCCUCUUGACACAACAUAGGAGGUCCAGCCUGCCCAGUGACAGAGUUCAACGGCUACGGUACCCUGACCGUACGAAGGUAGCAUAAUCACUUGUUCCUUAAAUGGGGACUUGUAUCAACGGCAUCACGAGGGCUGCACUGUCUCCUUUCUUCAAUCAGUGAAACUGAUCCCCCCGUGAAGAAGCGGGGAUGAAAUUAUAAGACGAGAAGACCCCAUGGAGCUUUAAAUAAUACAGCCACACUAUAUCAAAAUAUCCUCUUACUAAAAGUCCUGACUGUAAAUUUUAGGUUGGGGAGACCGCGGAGAACAACUAAACCUCCACGACAGACGGCCUAAGCCCUUAUCCACGAAUAACACUUGUAAGAAUCAGUACUCUGAUGUUAUUGACCCGAUAUUAUUCGACUGACGAACCAAGUUACCCUGGGGAUAACAGCGCAAUCUACUUUGAGAGCCCAUAUCGACAAGUGGGUUUACGA
rnacentral:rRNA from 1 species